GAUGAACGCUGGCGGCGUGCCUAAUACAUGCCAGUCGAGCGAACAGACGAGGAGCUUGCUCCUCUGACGUUAGCGGCGGACGGGUGAGUAACACGUGGAUAACCUACCUAUAAGACUGGGAUAACUUCGGGAAACCGGAGCUAAUACCGGAUAAUAUAUUGAACCGCAUGGUUCAAUAGUGAAAGACGGUUUUGCUGUCACUUAUAGAUGGAUCCGCGCCGCAUUAGCUAGUUGGUAAGGUAACGGCUUACCAAGGCAACGAUGCGUAGCCGACCUGAGAGGGUGAUCGGCCACACUGGAACUGAGACACGGUCCAGACUCCUACGGGAGGCAGCAGUAGGGAAUCUUCCGCAAUGGGCGAAAGCUUGACGGAGCAACGCCGCGUGAGUGAUGAAGGUCUUCGGAUCGUAAAACUCUGUUAUUAGGGAAGAACAAAUGUGUAAGUAACUAUGCACGUCUUGACGGUACCCAAUCAGAAAGCCACGGCUAACUACGUG
rnacentral:rRNA from 1 species